UUAAAACAAGCUUUUAAGAGCAGAUGGCGGAUGCCUUGCCAAAGAGAGGCGAUGAAGGACGUACUAGACUGCGAUAAGCUAUGCGGAGCUGUCAAGGAGCUUUGAUGCGUAGAUGUCCGAAUGGGGCAACCCAACUAAUAGAGAUAUUAGUUACUCUAAUUUAGAGAGCGAACCUAGUGAAGUGAAACAUCUCAGUAACUAGAGGAAAAGAAAUCAACGAGAUUCCCUAAGUAGUGGCGAGCGAACGGGGAAAAGGGCAAACCGAGUGCUUGCAUUCGGGGUUGAGGACUGCAAUAUCCACAAGAACGCUUUAGCAGAGUUACCUGGAAAGGUAAGCCAUAGAAAGUGAUAGCCUUGUAUGCGACAAGGCGUUCUUAGGUAGCAGGAUCCAGAGUAGGCCAGGACACGAGAAAUCCAGGUUGAAGCCGGGGAGACCACUCUCCAACCCUAAAUACUACUCUUUGAGCGAUAGCGAACAAGUACCGUGAGGGAAAGGUGAAAAGAACCGCAGUGAGCGGAGUGAAAUAGAACCUGAAACCAUCUGCUUACAAUCAUUCAGAGCCCUAUGAUUUAUCAGGGUGAUGGACUGCCUUUUGCAUAAUGAUCCUGCGAGUUGUGGUAUCUGGCAAGGUUAAGCGGAUGCGAAGCCGUAGCGAAAGCGAGUCUUAAUAGGGCGAUCAAGUCAGAUGCUGCAGACCCGAAGCUAAGUGAUCUAUCCAUGGCCAAGUUGAAACGCGUGUAAUAGCGCGUGGAGGACUGAACUCGUACCCAUUGAAACGGGUUGGGAUGAGCUGUGGAUAGGGGUGAAAGGCCAAACAAACUUAGUGAUAGCUGGUUCUCUUCGAAAUAUAUUUAGGUAUAGCCUCAAGUGAUAAUAAAAGGGGGUAGAGCGCUGAUUGGGCUAGGGCUGCUCGCCGCGGUACCAAACCCUAUCAAACUUCGAAUACCUUUUAUCGUAUCUUGGGAGUCAGGCGGUGGGUGAUAAAAUCAAUCGUCAAAAGGGGAACAACCCAGACUACCAAAUAAGGUCCCUAAGUUCUAUUCUGAGUGGAAAAAGAUGUGUGGCUACUCAAACAACCAGGAGGUUGGCUUAGAAGCAGCCAUCCUUUAAAGAAAGCGUAACAGCUCACUGGUCUAGUGGUCAUGCGCUGAAAAUAUAACGGGGCUAAGAUAGACACCGAAUUUGUAGAUUGUGUUAAACACAGUGGUAGAAGAGCGUUCAUACCAGCGUUGAAGGUAUACCGGUAAGGAGUGCUGGAGCGGUAUGAAGUGAGCAUGCAGGAAUGAGUAACGAUAAGAUAUAUGAGAAUUGUAUCCGCCGUAAAUCUAAGGUUUCCUACGCGAUGGUCGUCAUCGUAGGGUUAGUCGGAUCCUAAGCCGAGUCCGAAAGGGGUAGGUGAUGGCAAAUUGGUUAAUAUUCCAAUACCGACUUAUGGAGCGUGAUGGGGGGACGCAUAGGGUUAAGCGAGCUAGCUGAUGGAAGCGCUAGUCUAAGGGCGUAGAUUGGAGGGAAGGCAAAUCCACCUCUGUAUUUGAAACCCAAACAGGCUCUUUGAGUCCUUUCAGGACAAAGGGAGAAUCGCUGAUACCGUCGUGCCAAGAAAAGCCUCUAAGCAUAUCCAUAGUCGUCCGUACCGCAAACCGACACAGGUAGAUGAGAUGAGUAUUCUAAGGCGCGUGAAAGAACUCUGGUUAAGGAACUCUGCAAACUAGCACCGUAAGUUCGCGAUAAGGUGUGCCGCAGCAAUGCGGUCUCAGCAAAGAGUCCCUCCCGACUGUUUACCAAAAACACAGCACUUUGCCAACUCGUAAGAGGAAGUAUAAGGUGUGACGCCUGCCCGGUGCUCGAAGGUUAAGAGGAUGCGUCAGUCGCAAGAUGAAGCGUUGAAUUGAAGCCCGAGUAAACGGCGG
rnacentral:rRNA from 1 species